UUCACCGUAGGUCAGGCCAGAUUUGUCGUGAUUGUCGGCGUUGCUGGCGUAGGAAAUCUUGAGCACUGUCGGUCCCGUCGGCACGAUGAUC
rnacentral:tRNA from 1 species